UUGGCGAUCCGUACACAUUGGAAUUUCGCUAACUCCUCCGAAGGCUUUUGUUCCACCGGCACCACAUUUGCUCAGGCCAAUCUACACCCCAUGGCCAUUAAAAGUUAUUCAAAUCAUGACGCUGCACCCCACGGUUUAGGUUCUAGGGGGCGCCAAAGAUAACCCAAAAAUCCACAUAUUUCAAAGUCUUAUAACUUUUUAUUUUUGUCCUCACUGGCCUCCAAGUUUUCUAGGAUGAUGCAAUGUCCAGCCAUCAACACAUUUGUGAAGGAAUUUUUACUCCCCAAAAGAGCGCCCCCCCAUGGCAGGAGAAAAAGUCCAUUUUUUCUUGUCCCCUAAGGUGAAAAUACACAUUGUUGAGUGUCACGCCUCUACACUUUGUCAAAAUGACACAAAAUUUGGCACACAGGUGUAUCUCAAUAAUAUCUACGAAAAAGUCAAUGCGGGCGUAUCUGUCAAAUGUACGGUUAAAGGGCUAUUUCGCAUUUUUUGGCGAUCCGUACACAUUGGAAUUUCGCUAACUCCUCCGAAGGCUUUUGUUCCACCGCCACCACAUUUGCUCAGGCCAAUCUACACCCCAUGGCCAUUAAAAGUUAUUCAAAUCAUGACGCUGCACCCCACGGUUUAGGUUCUAGGGGGCGCCAAAGAUAACCCUAAAAUCCACAUAUUUCAAAGUCUUAUAACUUUUUAUUUUUGUCCUCACUGGCCUCCAAGUUUUCUAGGAUGAUGCAAUGUCCAGCCAUCAACACAUUUGUGAAGGAAUUUUUACUCCCUAAAAGAGUGCCCCCCCCAUGGCAGGAGAAAAAGUCUAGUUUUUCCUGCCCAUCGCUCAACGGCUCAAACACAUCGCUCUCUCGGCAAAACCGAAAGGAGGAGAAACUUGCCAUUUGGAUAUAUCCUAGCUGUGUUUGUGCCCUCACUCAUGGUCCAGACUUUUUUCAAAUAGGACAGUUUGUCUGCAGCGAGCGUUUUGGUAGAAACUGCGCCUCCCAUUCAUUAUAAUGGUAAAUGACCACAGACAAGUGUGCACACCAUCUUUGGACCUUGAGUGUGACGCGAUCGGGAGGGAGAGGCGGUCGUGUUGGGGGCGGCGCGACACAGCUCGGGCCCGCCAGUGCCCCAACGGGGCCCUAGUUUGUUAUUAUUAUUAUUUUUCCUCCCCUUUGAACUGGAAAAUGGCCCACUUCCCACUGGCGAAAACUCAUGAAAUUUGGCAGGACGACCGGGCCUGGUGAAAAAUUUGAUAUUCCGAAGUCGCCCAAACAAGAAAAUGCAAAAUGGCUCCAUAGCGCCCCCUAAGGUGAAAAUUCACACUAUUGACUGUCACGCCUGUACGCUUUGUCAAAAUGACACAAAAAUUGACACACACAUGUAUCUCAAUAAGAUCUACAAAAAAGUCAGUGCGGGCGUAUCUGUCAAAUGUACGGUUAAAGGGUUAUUUCGCAUUUUUUGCCGAUCCGCACACAUUGGAAUUUCGCUAACUCCUCCGAAGGCUUUCGUUCCACCGGCACCACAUUUGCUCAGGCCAAUCUACACCCCAUGGCCAUUAAAAGUUAUUCAAAUCAUGACGCUGCACCCCACGGUUUAGGUUCUAGGGGGCGCCAAAGAUAACCCUAAGAUCCACAUAUUUCAAAGUCUUAUAACUUUUUAUUUUUGCCCUCACUGGCCUCCAAGUUUUCUAGGAUGAUGCAAUGUCCAGCCAUCAACACAUUUGUGAAGGAAUUUUUACUCCCCAAAAGAGCGCCCCCCAUGGCAGGAGAAAAAAGUCAAUUUUUUCUUGUCCCCUAAGGUGAAAAUACACAUUGUUGAGUGUAACACCUGUACGCUUUGGCAAAAUGACACAAAAAUUGACACACACAUGUAUCUCAAAGAGAUCUACGAAAAAGUCAAUGCGCGCGUAUCUGUCAAAUGUACGGUUAAAGGGUUAUUCCGCAUUUUUUGCUGAUCCGCACACAUUGGAAUUUCGCUAACUCCUCCGAAGGCUUUCGUUCCACCGGUACCACAUUUGCUCAGGCCAAUCUACACCCCAUGGCCAUUAAAAGUUAUUCAAAUCAUGACGCUGCAUCCCACGGUUUAGGUUCUAGGGGGCGCCAAAGAUAACCCUAAAAUCCACAUAUUUAAAAGUCUUAUAACUUUUUAUUUUUGUCCUCACUGGCCUCCAAGUUUUCUAGGAUGAUGCAAUGUCCAGCCAUCAACACAUUUGUGAAGGAAUUUUUACUCCCCAAAAGAGCGCCCCCCCAUGGCAGGAAAAAAAAGCCAAUUUUUUAGGGCCCGAGCGUAGCUGCUAAGCAGCUGCGAGAGCCCUAUUAUUCCCCAAGUGGUUUUUCUUUAGGGCCCGAGCGUAGCUGCUAAGCAGCUGCGAGAGCCCUCUUGUUCCUGCAUGUUUCCUUCUUUUGUUAUUAUUAUUAUUUUUCCUCCCCUUUGAACUGGAAAAUGGCCCACUUCCCACUGGCGAAAACUCAUGAAAUUUGGCAGGACGACCGGGCCUGGUGAAAAAUUUGAUAUUCCGAAGUCGCCCAAACAAGAAAAUGCAAAAUGGCUCCAUAGCGCCCCCUAAGGUGAAAAUUCACACUAUUGACUGUCACGCCUGUACGCUUUGUCAAAAUGACACAAAAAUUGACACACACAUGUAUCUCAAUAAGAUCUACAAAAAAGUCAGUGCGGGCGUAUCUGUCAAAUGUACGGUUAAAGGGUUAUUUCGCAUUUUUUGCUGAUCCGCACACAUUGGAAUUUCGCUAACUCCUCCGAAGGCUUUCGUUCCACCGGCACCACAUUUGCUCAGGCCAAUCUACACCCCAUGGCCAUUAAAAGUUAUUCAAAUCAUGACGCUGCACCCCACGGUUUAGGUUCUAGGGGGCGCCAAAGAUAACCCUAAGAUCCACAUAUUUCAAAGUCUUAUAACUUUUUAUUUUUGCCCUCACUGGCCUCCAAGUUUUCUAGGAUGAUGCAAUGUCCAGCCAUCAACACAUUUGUGAAGGAAUUUUUACUCCCCAAAAGAGCGCCCCCCCAUGGCAGGAGAAAAAAGUCAAUUUUUUCUUGUCCCCUAAGGUGAAAAUACACAUUGUUGAGUGUAACACCUGUACGCUUUGGCAAAAUGACACAAAAAUUGACACACACAUGUAUCUCAAAGAGAUCUACGAAAAAGUCAAUGCGCGCGUAUCUGUCAAAUGUACGGUUAAAGGGUUAUUCCGCAUUUUUUGCUGAUCCGCACACAUUGGAAUUUCGCUAACUCCUCCGAAGGCUUUCGUUCCACCGGUACCACAUUUGCUCAGGCCAAUCUACACCCCAUGGCCAUUAAAAGUUAUUCAAAUCAUGACGCUGCAUCCCACGGUUUAGGUUCUAGGGGGCGCCAAAGAUAACCCUAAAAUCCACAUAUUUAAAAGUCUUAUAACUUUUUAUUUUUGUCCUCACUGGCCUCCAAGUUUUCUAGGAUGAUGCAAUGUCCAGCCAUCAACACAUUUGUGAAGGAAUUUUUACUCCCCAAAAGAGCGCCCCCCCAUGGCAGGAAAAAAAAGCCAAUUUUUAAGGGCCCGAGCGUAGCUGCUAAGCAGCUGCGAGAGCCCUAUUAUUCCCCAAGUGGUUUUUCUUUAGGGCCCGAGCGUAGCUGCUAAGCAGCUGCGAGAGCCCUCUUGUUCCUGCAUGUUUCCUUCUUUUGUUAUUAUUAGGGCCCGAGCCAGCUGCAGAGCAGCCGGGCGUAGGCCCUAUUAUUCCCCAAGUGGUUUUUCUUUGUUUCUUUCUUUCUUUUUUCUUUUUCCUCCCCUUUGAACUGGAAAAUGGCCCACUUCCCACUGGCGAAAACUCAUGAAAUUUGGCAGGACGACCGGGCCUGGUGAAAAAUUUGAUAUUCCGAAGUCGCCCAAACAAGAAAAUGCAAAAUGGCUCCAUAGCGCCCCCUAAGGUGAAAAUUCACACUAUUGACUGUCACGCCUGUACACUUUGUCAAAAUGACACAAAAAUUGACACACACAUGUAUCUCAAUAAGAUCUACAAUAAAGUCAGUGCGGGCAUAUCUGUCAAAUGUACAAUUAAAGGGUUAUUUCGCAUUUUUUGCCGAUCCGCACACAUUGGAAUUUCGCUAACUCCUCCGAAGGCUUUCGUUCCACCGGCACCACAUUUGCUCAGGCCAAUCUACACCCCAUGGCCAUUAAAAGUUAUUCAAAUCAUGACGCUGCACCCCACGGUUUAGGUUCUAGGGGGCGCCAAAGAUAACCCUAAAAUCCACAUAUUUCAAAGUCUUAUAACUUUUUAUUUUUGUCCUCACUGGCCUCCAAGUUUUCUAGGAUGAUGCAAUGUCCAGCCAUCAACACAUUUGUGAAGGAAUUUUUACUCCCUAAAAGAGCGCCCCCCCAUGGCAGGAGAAAAAAGUCCAUUUUUUCUUGUCCCCUAAGGUGAAAAUACACAUUGUUGACUGUCACGCCUGUACGCUUUGGCAAAAUGACACAAAAAUUGACAAUCAUGUGUAUCUCAAUUAGAUCUACGAAAAAGUCAAAGAGCGCGUAUCUGUAUAAUGUACGGUAAAAGGGCUAUUUUGCAUUUUUUGCCGAUUCGCACACAUUGGAAUUUCGCUAACUCCUCCUAAGGCUUUCGUCCCACUCACACCAAAUUUGCUCAGGCCAAUCUACACUCCAUGGCCAUUCAAAGUUGUAAAAAUCAUGACGCUGCACCCCACGGUUUACGUUUUAGGGGGCGCCAAAGAUGACCCAAAUAUACAUUACAGUAGACAAAGUAGUUUUGCCCACUGAGUGGCGCCAAAGGGACUUGUCUGUGGAGUCUGUGAGUCACUAUUGGCCGUUUUUGACUACUUUAGAUUUUACCUUUAUAUUUCCUCUUACAAAAUUUUUACCUUGCCUUGCCUGGUAUCAUUUUUUUCAGCACAACCUCACCUGUGUCAAUUUACAGUUAUUUUAUCAUUUUGACAUACUAUAUUUACACAUUGGACCCAAAUUCACACACAAAACAUAAAAUCCGAGUGGAAAAAAGUAACGUUUUUACUGUGAAAACCACAAAUAUGUGUGAUGAACUGUUUUUAAAACUUAAACUUCAAAUAAAAAUUGUAAACUUCAAAACAUAUGCAAAUUUUUAACAAAGAACAUAGUAAUUUACCUCUAUUGACAUCAAAAUGCAGGCAAUGGCCCAGGUGUUCUUUGUAAAAUUAUUUACAAAACACUGUAUAGUCUCACAAAUGUCACUUUUUAUUUAUGCCACUACAAAAAAACAUGAUGUAAAUGAUGCAUGAUGUAAAACAUGAUGUAAAAAACUUGUGUAGAUCCUCCUCUAUGUUAGUCCAUGUGUAAUUUUUCCAUAAUUCUUUGUUUUUUGCAGCAUUUUUGUUAGUGUAACUGCAGAUUGUGCUGACAGUGUCUAUGGCAAAAAAAAACAAAAACUAGGACCCCGUUGGGGCACUGGCGGGCCCGAGCCGUGUCCCCCCCCCCCCCAACGCGCUGCCUCCCCGUCCCAUUCGCGUCCUCUGGCCAUCGCCCUCUCUGGUAACGCCCAUCACUGCAAAGACCCUUUCCUUCAUCGGCGUUUGCUGUUCUUCCUGCCAGUGCGUGUUGCUUUCACUUACACUUGCCACAGCCAGCCUCGUGAGUGCCUAGCCUAUUCGAUAUCACUGUCACCUACACAGGACAGUCAUUACCUUUCUAUUAAUACUUUGUGUUUUAAUUUCACAUUAAUUUCCAUAUUGUAUAAAUGACUGGAAAAAACUUGAGCCCCUGCCCCUGUAUAAUCAUGUGCAUGUCUCUGUUCUAGCUCCAAGGUGAAUCUUCACUGCUCAUGUUCUCCUCAGAAGCACUCACCUCACUCCCCUCAGGUUACUGUACACAUGCACCAACUGCCUGCUUCAGGUUUGGAUGGAGCUUCAUGGUUGUCUUUUGGAGAAAUGACCAGUCAAGUUGUGUUUGAAAUUUGAUUUUUUUCAGGGGCAAAAGGAGCCUCUGCAUUCUUGUCAAAUAUGUAAAUAGCAUGUUUUUGCAGGUGCUAAAAACCAGACUCUGAGUGUGUGUGUGUGUGUGUGUGUGUGUGUGUGUGCGUGUGUGUGUGUCUGUGUGUGCGUUCAAGUCACAUGACAUAUUUAACCGGAUGUAGCUGCAAGACGGAGCCUCGUUGACUCUCCGUUUCAACUUAUCUCAAAAGUGAGGACCUCAACCUAUAUACCAGUUUUUGAAUUGUGUUGAUAGGCCAAAUAAAACCAGAGUUAUGAUAAAUUAUGUCCGCGAUACUUGUUUUCUGCUUAUUUUGAUCACGUUCGGCGCUCGAUCGCGCUGUAUGAGACAGGAAAACAUAGCAUGCAGACAUUAGCGACAGGUCUUACAGGCGGAAAAGGCUUGCCAAAAAAAAAAAAACACACCACAACAUCUCUCCUAUUGGUGGAAAACUUCACCACAACAACCAAUCCAAAAUUAUAUGGUGACUGAUUGACAAGGGGCGGGCGCUUACGUUCUUCCUGCAACAUGAGAAGGGAGGGAGGGACUCUCAGCAGGGAUGCAGUCUGGGACACGUAGUUGCAAACCUAGCGACUUUGUUGUUAGAUUCAAUGACUUUUCAGACCCCCUAACGACUUUUUUUUUAGAAAGAAAGGGACUUUUAUCGACUUCUUCUGGAGUUUAGAGACUCUGACAUGAAGCAGGCUUUCCUUACUGAGGAGUUAGCAACGCUGCUAAGGGUGCAGAGCCACACAUGCGCUCAGAGCUCUGCAUGGGAGACUGAAGCUGACAGAGCUGCAGCAGUUAGCAGGUUUCACCCUCAGAGACCACCAGGGGUUCAUGUUGAGGCAUUUUAAUUUUUUUUUUUUUUUUGUGCCAUAGACACUGUCAGCACAAUCUGCAGUUACACUAACAAAAAUGCUGCAAAAAACAAAGAAUUAUGGAAAAAUUACACAUGGACUGACAUAGAGGAGGAUCUACACAGGUUUUUUACAUCAUGUUUUACAUCAUGCAUCAUUUACAUCAUGUUUUUUUGUAGUGGCAUAAAUAAAAAGUGACAUUUGUGAGACUAUACAGUGUUUUGUAAAUAAUUUUACAAAGAACGCCUGGGCCAUUGCCUGCAUUUUGAUGUAAAUAGAGGUAAAUCACUAUGUUCUUUGUUAAAAAUUUGCAUAUGUUUUGAAGUUUACAAUUUUUAUUUGAAGUUUAAGUUUUAAAAACAGUUCAUCACACAUAUUUGUGGUUUUCACAGUAAAAAUGUUACUUUUUUCCACUCGGAUUUUAUGUUUUGUGUGUGAAUUUGGGUCCAUUGUGUAAAUUCAGUAUGUCAACAUGAUAAAAUAACUGUAAAUUCGCACAGGUGAGGUUGUGCUGAAAAAAAUGAUACCAGGCAAGGCACGUGAUUGUCAAAUUUUGUGUCAAUAUGACAAAGCGUAUAGGCGUGAAUCUCAACAAUAUGUAUUUUCACCUUAGGGGACAAGAAAAAAUUGACUUUUUUCUCCUGCCAUGGGGGGGCGCUCUUUUGGGGAGUAAAAAUUCCUUCACAAAUGUGUUGAUGGCUGGACAUUGCAUCAUCCUAGAAAACUUGGACGCCAGUGAGGACAAAAAUAAAAAGUUAUAAGACUUUUAAAUAUGUGGAUUUUAGGGUUAUCUUUGGCACCCCCUAGAACCUAAACCGUGGGGUGCAGCGUCAUGAUUUGAAUAACUUUUAAUGGCCAUGGGGUGUAGAUUGGCCUGAGCAAAUGUGGUGCCGGUGGAACGAAAGCCUUAGGAGGAGUUAGCCACAUUCCAAUGUGUGCGGAUCGGCAAAAAAUGCGGAAUAACCCUUUAACCGUACAUUUGACAGAUACGCACGCAUUGACUUUUUCGUAGAUCUUAUUGAGUUACAUGUGUGUGUGUCAAUUUUUGUGUCAUUUUGACAAAGCGUAUAGGCGUGACACUCAACAAUGUGUAUUUUCACCUUAGGGGACAAGAAAAAAUGGACUUUUUUCUCCUGCCAUGGGGGGCGCUCUUUUGGGGAGUAAAAAUUCCUUCACAAAUGUGUUGAUGGCUGGACAUUGCAUCAUCCUAGAAAACUUGGAGGCCAGUGAGGACAAAAAUAAAAAGUUAUAAGACUUUUAAAUAUGUGGAUUUUAGGGUUAUCUUUGGCGCCCCCUAGAACCUAAACCUUGGGGUGCAGCGUCAUGAUUUUGAUAACUUUUAAUGGCCACGGGGUGUAGAUUGGCCUGAGCAAAUGUGGUGCCGGUGGAACGAAAGCCUUCGGAGGAGUUAGCGAAAUUCCAAUGUGUGCGGAUCGGCAAAAAAUGCGAAAUAACCCUUUAACCGUAAUUUUGACAGAUACGGCCGCACUGACUUUUUUGUAGAUCUUAUUGAGAUACAUAUGUUUGUCAAUUUUUGUGUCAAUAUGACAAAGCGUACAGGCGUGACAGUCAAUAGUGUGAAUUUCCACCUUAGGGGGCGCUAUGGAGCCAUUUUGCAUUUUAUUGUUUGGGCGACUUCAGAAUAUCGAAUUUUUCACCAGGCCCGGUCGUCCUGCCAAAUUUCAUGAGUUUUCGCCAGUGGGAAGUGGGCCAUUUUCCAGUUCAAAGGGGAGGAAAAAGAAGAAACUAGGGCCCCGUUGGGGCACUGGCGGGCCCGAGCCGCGUUGCGCCGCCCCCAGUGCAACCGCCUCCCCCUCCCGAUCGCGUCACACUCAAGGUCCAAAGAUGGUGUGCGCACUUGUCUGUGGUCAUUUCCCAUUAUAAUGAAUGGGAGGCGCAGUUUCUACCAAAACACUCGCUGCAGACAAACUACAUGUCCUAUUUGAAAAAAGUCUGGCCCAUGAGUGAGGGCACAAACACAGCUAGGAUAUAGCCAAACGGCAAGUUGCUCCUCGUUACGGUGUUGCCGGGAGAGCGAUGCGAUUGAGCCAUUGAGUGAUGGGCAGGAAAAACUUGACUGUUUCUCCUGCCAUGGGGGAUGGGGGUUGGGAGGGGGGGGGAAAGGGAUGUGGAUUCUUUUAAGAAUGUGGAUAUUUGGGUCAUCUUUGGCGCCCCCUAGAACGUAAACCGUGGGGUGCAGCGUCAUGAUUUUUAAAACUUUGAAUGGCCAUGGGGUGUAGAUUGGCCUGAGCAAAUUUGGUGUCAGUGGGACGAAAGCCUUAGGAGGAGUUAGCCACAUUCCAAUGUGUGCUAAUCGGCAAAAAAUGCAAAAUAGCCUUUUAACCGUACAUUUUACAGAUACGCGCGCAUUGACUUUUUCGUAGAUCUUAUUGAGAUACAUGUGUGUGUCAAAUUUUGUGUCAAUAUGACAAAGCAUACAGGUAUGACAGUCAACAAUGUGUAUUUUCACCUUAUGGGACAAGAAAAAAUGGACUUUUUUCUCCUGCCAUGGGGGGGCGCUCUUUUAGGGAGUAAAAAUUCCUUCACAAAUGUGUUGAUGGCUGGACAUUGCAUCAUCCUAGAAAACUUGGAGGCCAGUGAGGACAAAAAUGAAAAGUUAUAAGACUUUUAAGAAUGUGGAUUUUUGGGUUAUCUUUGGCGCCCCCUAGAACGUAAACCGUGGGGUGCAGCGUCAUGAUUUGUACAACUUUUAAUGGCCAUGGGGUGUAGAUUGACCUGAGCAAAUUUGGUGCCGGUGGAACGAAAGCCUUUGGAGGAGUUAGCGAAAUUCCAAUGUGUGCGGAUCGGCAGAAAAUGCGAAAUAGCCCUUUAACCGUACAUUAUACAGAUACGCGCUCUUUGACUUUUUCGUAGAUCUUAUUGAGAUACACGUGAUUGUCAAAUUUUGUGUCAAUAUGACAAAGCGUUCAGGCGUGACACUCUACAAUGUGUAUUUUCAUGUUAGGGGACAAGAAAAAAUGGACUUUUUUCACCUGCCAUGGGGGGGCGCUCUUUUGGGGAGUAAAAAUUCCUUCACAAAUGUGUUGAUGGCUGGACAUUGCAUCAUCCUAGAAAACUUGGAGGCCAGUGAGGACAAAAAUAAAAAGUUAUAAGACUUUUAAGAAUGUGGAUUUUUGGGUUAUCUUUGGCGCCCCCUAGAACGUAAACCGUGGGGUGCAGCGUCAUGAUUUGUACAACUUUUGAUGGCCAUGGGGUGUAGAUUGGCCUGAGCAAAUUUGGUGCCAGUGGAACGAAAGCCUUCGGAGGAGUUAGCGAAAUUCCAAUGUGUGCGGAUCGGCAAAAAAUGCGAAAUAGCCCUUUAACGGUACAUUUGACAGAUACGCCCGCACUGACUUUUUUGUAGGUCUUAUUGAGAUACACAUGUGUGUCAAAUUUUGUGUCAUUUUGACAAAGCGUACAGGCGUCAGGUGAAUUUUCACCAUAGGGGGCGCUAUGGAGCCAUUUUUCAUUUUUUUGUUUGGGCGACUUCAGAAUAUCGAAUUUUUCACCAGGCCCGGUCGUCCUGCCAAAUUUCCUGAGUUUUCGCCAGUGGGAAGUGGGCCAUUUUCCAGUUUAAAGCGGAGGAAAAAUAACGAAAGAAGAAUCCAUCAGGAACAAGAGGGCUCUCGCAGCUGCUUAGCAGCUACGCUCGGGCCCUAACUAGGGCCCCGGUGGGGCACUGGCGGGCCCGAGCUGUGUCGCGCCCCCCCCCCCCCCCCCCCCAACGCGCUGCCUCCCCGUCCCAUUCGCGUCCUCUGGCCAUCGUCCUCUCUGGUAACGCCCAUCACUGCAAAGACCCUUUUCCUUCAUCGGCGUUUGCUGUUCUUCCUGCCAGUGCGUGUGGCUUUCACUUGCACUUGCCACAGCCAGCCUCGUGAGUGCCUAGCCUAUUGGAUAUCACUGUCACCUACACAGGACAGUCAUUACCUUUCUAUUAAUACUUUGUUUUUUAAUUUCACAUUAAUUUCCAUAUUGUCUAAACGACUGGAAAAAACUUGAGCCCCUGCCCCUGUAUAAUCAUGUGCACGUCCCUGUUCUAGCUCCAAAGUGAAUCUUGACUGCUCAUGUUCUCCUCAGAAGCAGUCACCUCACUCCACUCAGGUUACUGUACACAUGCACCAACUGCCUGCUUCAGGUUUGGAUGGAGCUUCAUGGUUGUCUUUUGGAGAAAUGAGCAGUCAAGUUGUGUUUGAAAUUUCAUUUUUUUCAGGGGCAAAAGGAAGUCUCUGCAUUGUUGUCAAAUAUGUAAAUAGCAUGUUUUUGCAGGUGCUGAAAAACAGACUCUGAGUGUGUAUGUGUGUGUGUGUGUGUGUGUGUGUGUGUGUGUGUGUGUGUGCGUGUGUGUGUGUGUGUGUGUGUGUGUCUGUGUGUGUGUAUCCUGCAGUGGCCAAAACGACUUUUAAGAAUGUGGAUAUUUGGGUCAUCUUUGGCGCCCCCUAGAACGUAAACCAUGGGGUGCAGCGGCAUGAUUUUUACAACUUUGAAUGGCCAUGGGGUGUAGAUUGGCCUGAGCAAAUUUGGUGUCAGUGGGACGAAAGCCUUAGGAGGAGUUAGCCACAUUCCAAUGUGUGCGAAUCGGCAAAAAAUGCAAAAUAGCCGUUUAGCCGUACAUUUUACAGAUACGCGCGCAUUGACUUUUUCGUAGAUCUUAUUGAGAUACACGUGUGUGUCAAAUUUUGUGUCAAUAUGACAAAGCGUACAGGCGUGACAUUCAACAAUGUUUAUUUUCACCUUAGGGGACAAGAAAAAAUUGACUUUUUUGUCCUGCCAUGGGGGGGCGCUCUUUUGGGGAGUAAAAAUUCCUUCACAAAUGUGUUGAUGGCUGGACAUUGCAUCAUCCUAGAAAACUUGGAGGCCAGUGAGGACAAAAAUAAAAAGUUAUAAGACUUUUAAGAAUGUGGAUUUUAGGGUUAUCUUUGGCGCCCCCUAGAACCUAAGCCAUGGGGUGCAGCGUCAUGAUUUGUACAACUUUUAAUGGCCAUGGGGUGUAGAUUGGCCUGAGCAAAUUUGGUGCCGGUGGAACGAAAGCCUUCGGAGGAGUUAGCGAAAUUCCAAUGUGUGCGGAUCGGCAAAAAAUGCGAAAUAGCCCUUUAACCGUACAUUAUACAGAUACGCGCUCUUUGACUUUUUCGUAGAUCUUAUUGAGAUACACGUGUGUGUCAAAUUUUGUGUCAAUAUGACAAAGCGUUCAGGCAUGACACUCAACAAUGUGUAUUUUCACCUUAGGGGACAAGAAAAAAUGGACUUUUUUCUCCUGCCAUGGGGGGGCGCUCUUUUGGGGAGUAAAAAUUUCUUCACAAAUGUGUUGAUGGCUGGACAUUGCAUCAUCCUAGAAAACUUGGAGGCCAGUGAGGACAAAAAUAAAAAGUUAUAAGACUUUUAAGACUGUGGAUUUUUGGGUUAUCUUUGGCGCCCCCUAGAAUGUAAACCGUGGGGUGCAGCGUCAUGAUUUGUACAACUUUUAAUCGCCAUGGGGUGUAGAUUGUCCUGAGAAAAUUUGUUGCCGGUGGAACGAAAGCCUUCGGAGGAGUUAGCGAAAUUCCAAUGUGUGCGGAUCGGCAAAAAAUGCGAAAUAGCCCUUUAACCGUACAUUUGACAGAUACGCCCACACUGACUUUUUGUAGAUCUUAUUGAGAUACACAUGUGUGUCAAAUUUUGUGUCAUUUUGACAAAGCGUACAGGCCUCAGGUGAGUUUUCACCAUAGGGGGCGCUAUGGAGCCAUUUUUCAUUUUUUUGUUUGGGCGACUUCAGAAUAUCGAAUUUUUCACCAGGCCCGGUCGUCCUGCCAAAUUUCCUGAGUUUUCGCCAGUGGGAAGUGGGCCAUUUUCCAGUUUAAAGCGGAGGAAAAAUAACGAAAGAAGAAUCCAUCAGGAACAAGAGGGCUCUCGCAGCUGCUUAGCAGCUACGCUCGGGCCCUAAUAAUAAUAACAAACUAGGACCCCGGUGGGGCACUGUCGGGCCCGAGCCGCGUUGCGCCGCCCCCAGCGCGACCGCCUCCCCCUCCCGAUCGCGUCACACUCAAGGUCCAAAGAUGGUGUGCGCACUUGUCUGUGGUCAUUUCCCAUUAUAAUGAAUGGGAGGCGCAGUUUCUACCAAAACACUCGCUGCAGACAAAUUACAUGUCCUAUUUGAAAAAAGUCUGGACCAUGAGUGAGGGCACAAACACAGCUAGGAUAUAUCCAAACGGCAAGUUGCUCCUCGUUACGGUGUUGCCGGGAGAGUGAUGCGAUUGAGCCAUUGAGUGAUGGGCAGGAAAAACUUGACUGUUUCUCCUGCCAUGGGGGAUGGGGGAUGGGGGGGGGAUGUGGAUUCUUUUAAGAAUGUGGAUAUUUGGGUCAUCUUUGGCGCCCCCUAGAACGUAAACCGUGGGGUGCAGCGUCAUGAUUUUUACAACUUUGAAUGGCCAUGGGGUGUAGAUUGGCCUGAGCAAAUUUGGUGUCAGUGGGACGAAAGCCUUAGGAGGAGUUAGCCACAUUCCAAUGUGUGCGAAUCGGCAAAAAAUGCAAAAUAGCCCUUUAACCGUAGUUUUUACAGAUACGCACCCAUUGACUUUUUCGUAGAUCUUAUUGAGAUACAUGUGAUUGUCAAAUUUUGUGUCAAUAUGACAAAGCGUACAGGCGUCACACUCAACAAUGUGAAUUUUCACCUUACGGGACAAGAAAAAAUUGACUUUUUUCUCCUGCCAUGGGGGGGCGCUCUUUUGGGGAGUAAAAAUUCCUUCACAAAUGUGUUGAUGGCUGGACAUUGCAUCAUCCUAGAAAACUUGGAGGCCAGUGAGGACAAAAAGAAAAAGUUAUAAGACUUUUAAGAAUGUGGAUUUUUGGGUUAUCUUUGGCGCCCCCUAGAACCUAAACCGUGGGGUGCAGCGUCAUGAUUUGUACAACUUUUAAUGGCCAUGGGGUGUAGAUUGGCCUGAGCAAAUUUGGUGCCGGUGGAACGAAAGCCUUCGGAGGAGUUAGCGAAAUUCCAAUGUGUGCGGAUCGGCAAAAAAUGCGAAAUAGCCCUUUAACCGUACAUUAUACAGAUACGUGCUCUCUGACUUUUUCGUAGAUCUUAUUGAGAUACACGUGUGUGUCAAAUUUUGUGUCAAUAUGACAAAGCGUUCAGGCGUGACACUCAACAAUGUGUAUUUUCACCUUACGGGACAAGAAAAAAUGGACUUUUUUCUCCUGCCAUGGGGGGGCGCUCUUUUGGGGAGUAAAAAUUUCUUCACAAAUGUGUUGAUGGCUGGACAUUGCAUCAUCCUAGAAAACUUGGAGGCCAGUGAGGACAAAAAUAAAAAGUUAUAAGACUUUUAAGACUGUGGAUUUUUGGGUUAUCUUUGGCGCCCCCUAGAAUGUAAACCGUGGGGUGCAGCGUCAUGAUUUGUACAACUUUUAAUGGCCAUGGGGUGUAGAUUGUCCUGAGCAAAUUUGUUGCUGGUGGAACGAAAGCCUUCGGAGGAGUUAGCGAAAUUCCAAUGUGUGCGGAUCGGCAAAAAAUGCGAAAUAGCCCUUUAACGGUACAUUUGACAGAUACGCCCACACUGACUUUUUUGUAGAUGUUAUUGAGAUACACAUGUGUGUCAAAUUUUGUGUCAUUUUGACAAAGCGUACAGGCGUCAGGUGAGUUUUCACCAUAGGGGGCGCUAUGGAGCCAUUUUUCAUUUUUUUGUUUGGGCGACUUCAGAAUAUCGAAUUUUUCACCAGGCCCGGUCGUCCUGCCAAAUUUCCUGAGUUUUCACCAGUGGGAAGUGGGCCAUUUUCCAGUUUAAAGCGGAGGAAAAAUAACGAAAGAAGAAUCCAUCAGGAACAAGAGGGCUCUCGCAGCUGCUUAGCAGCUACGCUCGGGCCCUAAAGAAGAAUCCAUCAGGAACAAGACGGCUCUCGCAGCUGCUUAGCAGCUACGCUCGGGCCCUAAAAAACUGAAAAUGCCUCAACAUGAACCCCUGGUGGUCUCUGAGGGUGAAACCUGCUAACUGCUGCAGCUCUGUCAGCUUCAGUCUCCCAUGCAGAGCUCGGAGCGCAUGUGUGGCUCUGCACCCUUAGCAGCGUUGCUAACUCCUCAGUAAGGAAAGCCUGCUUCAUGUCAGAGUCUCUAAACUCCAGAAGAAGUCGAUAAAAGUCACUUUCUUUCUAAAAAAAGUCGUUAGGGGGUCUGAAAAGUCAUUGAAUCUAACAACAAAGUCGCUAGGUUUGCAACUACGUGUCCCAGACUGCAUCCCUGCUGAGAGUCCCUCCCUCCCUUCUCAUAUUGCAGGAAGAACGUAAGUUCCCGCCCCUUGUCAAUCAGUCACCAUAUAAUUUUGGAUUGGUUGUUGUGGUGAAGUUUUCCACCAAUAGGAGAGAUGUUGUGGUGUGUAUUUUUUUUCCUUUGGCAAGCCUUUUCCGCCUGUAAGACCUGUCGCUAAUGUCUGCAUGCUAUGUUUUCCUGUCUCAUACAGCGCGAUCGAGCGCCGAACGUGAUCAAAAUAAGCAGAAAACAAGUAUCGCGGACAUAAUUUAUCAUAACUCUGGUUUUAUUUGGCCUAUCAACACAAUUUAAAAACUGGUAUAUAGGUUGAGGUCCUCACUUUUGAGAUAAAUUGAAACGGAGAGUCAACGAGGCUCCGUCUUGCAGCUACAUCCGGUUAAAUAUGUCAUGUGACUUGAACGCACACACACACACACACACACACACACACACACACGCACACACACACACACUCAGAGUCUGGUUUGUAGCACCUGCAAAAACAUGCUAUUUACAUAUUUGACAAGAAUGCAGAGGCUCCUUUUGCCCCUGAAAAAAAUCAAAUUUCAAACACAACUUGACUGGUCAUUUCUCCAAAAGACAACCAUGAAGCUCCAUCCAAACCUGAAGCAGGCAGUUGGUGCAUGUGUACAGUAACCUGAGGGGAGUGAGGUGACUGCUUCUGAGGAGAACAUGAGCAGUGAAGAUUUACCUUAGAGCUAGAACAGAGACGUGCACAUGAUUAUACAGGGGCAGGGGCUCAAGUUUUUCCAGUCGUUUAUACAAUUUGGAAAUUAAUGUGAAAUUAAAAAACAAAGUAUUAAUAGAAAGGUAAUGACUGUCCUGUGUAGGUGACAGUGAUAUCGAAUAGGCUAGGCACUCACGAGGCUGGCUGUGGCAAGUGUAAGUGAAAGCAACACGCACUGGCAGGAAGAACAGCAAACGCCGAUGAAGGAAAAGGGUCUUUGCAGUGAUGGGCGUUACCAAAGAGGGCAAUGGCCAGAGGACACAAAUGGGACGGGGAGGCAGCGCGUUGGGGGGGGACGCGACACAGCUCGGGCCCGCCAGUGCCCCAACGGGGUCCUAGUUAUUAUUUUUCCUCCCCUUUGAACUGGAAAAUGGCCCACUUCCCACUGGCGAAAACUCAUGAAAUUUGGCAGGACGACCGGGCCUGGUGAAAAAUUUGAUAUUCCGAAGUCGCCCAAACAAGAAAAUGCAAAAUGGCUCCAUAGCGCCCCCUAAGGUGAAAAUUCACACUAUUGACUGUCACGCGUGUACGCUUUGUCAAAAUGACACAAAAAUUGACACACACAUGUAUCUCAAUAAGAUCUACAAAAAAGUCAGUGCGGGCGUAUCUGUCAAAUGUACGGUUAAAGGGUUAUUUCGCAUUUUUUGCCGAUCCGCACACAUUGGAAUUUCGCUAACUCCUCCGAAGGCUUUCGUUCCACCGGCACCACAUUUGCUCAGGCCAAUCUACACCCCAUGGCCAUUAAAAGUUAUUCAAAUCAUGACGCUGCACCCCACGGUUUAGGUUCUAGGGGGCGCCAAAGAUAACCCUAAGAUCCACAUAUUUAAAAGUCUUAUAACUUUUUAUUUUUGCCCUCACUGGCCUCCAAGUUUUCUAGGAUGAUGCAAUGUCCAGCCAUCAACACAUUUGUGAAGGAAUUUUUACUCCCCAAAAGAGCGCCCCCCCAUGGCAGGAGAAAAAAGUCAAUUUUUUCUUGUCCCCUUACAUAAAAAUACACAUUGUUGAGUGUCACGCCUGAACGCUUUGUCAUAUUGACACAAAAAUUGACAAUCAUGUGUAUCUCAAUUAGAUCUACGAAAAAGUCAAAGAGCGCGUAUCUGUAUAAUGUACGGUUAAAGGGCUAUUUUGCAUUUUUUGCCGAUUCGCACACAUUGGAAUGUGGCUAUCUCCUCCUAAGGCUUUCGUCCCACCGAUACCAAAUUUGCUCAGGGCAAUCUACACCCCAUGCCCAUUCAAAGUUGUAAAAAUCAUGACGCUGCACCCCACGGUUUACGUUCUAGGGGGCGCAAAAGAUGACCCAAAAAUCCACAUUCUUAAAAGUCAUUUUGGCCACUGCAGGAGUACAGAGUACUGCAGUUCUAGGGGGCGCCAAAGAUGACCCAAAAAUCCACAUUCUUAAAAGUCUUUUUGGCCACUGCAGGAGUACAGAGUACUGCAGGAUACACACACAUACACACACACACACACACACACACAGACACACACUCAGAGUCUGUUUUUUAGCACCUGCAAAAACAUGCUGUUUACAUAUUUGACAAGAAUGCAGAGGCUUCCUUUUGCCGCUGAAAAAAAUCAUAUUUCAAACACAACUUGACUGUUCAUUUCUCCAAAAGACAACCAUGAAGCUCCAUCCAAACCUGAAGCAGAUAGUUGGUGCAUGUGUACAGUAACCUGAGGGGAGUGAGGUGACUAUUUCUGAGGAGAACAUGAGCAGUGAAGAUUCACCUUGGAGCUAGAACAGGGACGUGCACAUGAUUAUACAGGGGCAGGGGCUCAAGUUUUUUCCAGUCAUUUAUACAAUAUGGAAAUUAAUGUGAAAUUAAACCACAAAUAUGUGUGAUGAACUGUUUUUAAAACUUAAACUUCAAAUAAAAAUUGUAAACUUCAAAACAUAUGCAAAUUUUUAACAAAGAACAUAGUUAUUUACCUCUAUUUACAUCAAAAUGCAGGCAAUGGCCCAGGCGUUCUUUGUAAAAUUAUUUACAAAACACUGUAUAGUCUCACAAAUGUCACUUUUUAUUUAUGCCACUACAAAAAAUGAUGAAUGAUGUAAAUGAUGCAUGAUGUAAAACAUGAUGUAAAAAACUUGUGUAGAUCCUCCUCUAUGUCAGUCCAUGUGUAAUUUUUCCAUAAUUCUUUGUUUUUUGCAGCAUUUUUGUUAGUGUAACUGCAGAUUGUGCUGACAGUCUAUGGCAAAAAAAACAAAAACUGAAAAUGCCUCAACAUGAACCCCUGGUGGUCUCUGAGGGUGAAACCUGCUAACUGCUGCAGCUCUGUCAGCUUCAGUCUCCCAUGCAGAGCUCGGAGCGCAUGUGUGGCUCUGCACCCUUAGCAGCGUUGCUAACUCCUCAGUAAGGAAAGCCUGCUUCAUGUCAGAGUCUCUAAACUCCAGAAGAAGUCGAUAAAAGUCACUUUCUUUCUAAAAAAAAGUCGUUAGGGGGUCUGAAAAGUCAUUGAAUCUAACAACAAAGUCGCUAGGUUUGCAACUACGUGUCCCAGACUGCAUCCCUGCUGAGAGUCCCUCCCUCCCUUCUCAUGUUGCAGGAAGAACGUAAGCACCCGCCCCUUGUCAAUCAGUCACCAUAUAAUUUUGGAUUGGUUGUUGUGGUGAAGUUUUCCACCAAUAGGAGAGAUGUUGUGGUGUUUUUUUUUUCUUUUGGCAAGCCUUUUCCGCCUGUAAGACCUGUCGCUAAUGUGUGCAUGCUAUGUUUUCCUGUCUCAUACAGCGCGAUCGAGCGCCGAACGUGAUCAAAAUAAGCAGAAAAAAAGUAUCGCGGACAUAAUUUAUCAUAACUCUGGUUUUAUUUGGCCUAUCAACACAAUUUAAAAACUGGUAUAUAGGUUGAGGUCCUCACUUUUGAGAUAAGUUGAAACGGAGAGUCAACGAGGCUCCGUCUUGCAGCUACAUCCGGUUAAAUAUGUCAUGUGACUUGAACGCUGGGGAGCGUCAAUCGAAUCGAAUCAAACCUAACUCUCAGAUGAAUCUUCAAAAUUCACCUCAGAAAUAUGCUUAUUAUUCUUCUCAGAGUACUGCAGGAUACACACACACACACGCACACACACACACACACACACACACACACACACACACACACACACACUCAGAGUCUGUUUUUUAGCACCUGCAAAAACAUGCUAUUUACAUAUUUGACAAGAAUGCAGAGGCUUCCUUUUGCCCCUGAAAAAAAUCAAAUUUCAAACACAACUUGACUGCUCAUUUCUCCAAAAGACAACCAUGAAGCUCCAUCCAAACCUGAAGCAGGCAGUUGGUGCAUGUGUACAGUAACCUGAGGGGAGUGAGGUGACUGCUUCUGAGGAGAACAUGAGCAGUGAAGAUUCACCUUGGAGCUAGAACAGGGACGUGCACAUGAUAAUACAGGGGCAGGGGCUCAAGUUUUUUCCAGUCGUUUAUACAAUAUGGAAAUUAAUGUGAAAUUAAAAAACAAAGUAUGACUGUCCUGUGUAGGUGACAGUGAUAUCCAAUAGGCUAGGCACUCACGAGGCUGGCUGUGGCAAGUGUAAGUGAAAGCAACACGCACUGGCAGGAAGAACAGCAAACGCCGAUGAAGGAAAAGGGUCUUUGCAGUGAUGGGCGUUACCAGAGAGGGCGAUGGCCAGAGGACAUGAAUGUGACGAGGAGGCAGCGCGUAUGGGGGGGGGGGUGCGACACGGCUCGGGCCCGCCAGUGCCCCAACGGGGCCCUAGUUGUUUCUUUCUUUCUUCUUUUUCCUCCCCUUUGAACUGGAAAAUGGCCCACUUCCCACUGGCGAAAACUCAUGAAAUUUGGCAGGAUGACCGGGCCUGGUGAAAAAUUUGAUAUUCCGAAGUCGCCCAAACAAGAAAAUGCAAAAUGGCUCCAUAGCGCCCCCUAAGGUGAAAAUUCACACUAUUGACUGUCACGCCUUCACGCUUUGUCAAAAUGACACAAAAAUUGACACACAUAUGUAUCUCAAUAAGAUCUACAAAAAAGUCAGUGCGGGCGUAUCUGUCAAAUGUACGGUUAAAGGGUUAUUCCGCAUUUUUUGCCGAUCCGCACACAUUGGAAUUUCGCUAACUCCUCCGAAGGCUUUCUUUCCACCGGCACCACAUUUGCUCAGGCCAAUCUACACGCCAUGGCCAUUAAAAGUUAUUCAAAUCAUGAUGCUGCACCCCACGGUUUAGGUUCUAGGGGGCGCCAAAGAUAACCCUAAAAUCCACAUAUUUAAAAGUCUUAUAACUUUUUAUUUUUGCCCUCACUGGCCUCCAAGUUUUCUAGGAUGAUGCAAUGUCCAGCCAUCAACACAUUUGUGAAGGAAUUUUUACUCCCCAAAAGAGCGCCCCCCAUGGCCGGAGAAAAAAGUCCAUUUUUUCUUGUCCCCUAAGGUGAAAAUACACAUUGUUGAGUGUCACGCCUGUACGCUUUGUCAUAUUGACACAAAAUUUGACACACACAUGUAUCUCAAUAAGAUCUACGAAAAAGUCAAUGCGCGCGUAUCUGUCAAAUGUACGGUUAAAGGGUUAUUCCGCAUUUUUUGCUGAUCCGCACACAUUGGAAUUUCGCUAACUCCUCCUAAGGCUGGCGUUCCACCGGCACCACAUUUGCUCAGGCCAAUCUACACCCCAUGGCCAUUAAAAGUUAUUCAAAUCAUGACGCUGCACCCCACGGUUUAGGUUCUAGGGGGCGCCAAAGAUAACCCUAAAAUCCACAUAUUUCAAAGUCUUAUAACUUUUUAUUUUUGUCCUCACUGGCCUCCAAGUUUUCUAGGAUGAUGCAAUGUCCAGCCAUCAACACAUUUGUGAAGGAAUUUUUACUCCUCAAAAGAGCCCCCCCAUGGCAGGAGAAAAAAGUCAAUUUUUUCUUGUCCCGUAAGGUGAAAAUUCACAUUGUUGAGUGUGACACCUGUACGCUUUGUCAUAUUGACACAAAAUUUGACAAUCACGUGUAUCUCAAUAAGAUCUACGAAAAAGUCAAUGGGUGCGUAUCUGUCAAAUGUACGGUUAGAGGGCUAUUUUGCAUUUUUUGCCGAUUCGCACACAUUGGAAUGUGGCUAACUCCUCCUAAGGCUUUCGUCCCACUGAAACCAAAUUUGCUCAGGCCAAUCUACACCCCAUGGCCAUUCAAAGUUGUAAAAAUCAUGACGCUGCACCCCACGGUUUACGUUCUAGGGGGCGCCAAAGAUGACCAAAAAAUCCACAUUCUUAAAAGAAUCCACAUUCCCCCCCCAUGGCAGGAGAAAAAGUCAAGUUUUUCCUGCCCAUCGCUCAAUGGCUCAAUCGCAUCGCUCUCCAGGCAACACCGUAACGAGGAGCAACCUGCCAUUUGGAUAUAUCCCAGCUGUGUUUGUGCCCUCACUCAUGGUCCAGACUUUUUUCAAAUAGGACAUGAAGUUUGUCUGCAGCGAGUGUUUUGGUAGAAACUGCGCCUCCCAUUCAUUAUAAUGGGAAAUGACCACAGACAAGUGCGCACACCAUCUUUGGACCUUGAGUGUGACUCAAUCGGGAGGGGGAGGCGGUCACGCUGGGGGCGGCACGACGCGGCUCGGGCCCGACAGUGCCCCACCGGGGCCCUAGUUCUUGUUAUUAUUAUUAUUUUUCCUCCCCUUUGAACUGGAAAAUGGCCCACUUCCCACUGGCGAAAACUCAUGAAAUUUGGCAGGACGACCGGGCCUGGUGAAAAAUUUGAUAUUCCGAAGUCGCCCAAACAAGAAAAUGCAAAAUGGCUCCAUAGCGCCCCCUAAGGUGAAAAUUCACACUAUUGACUGUCACGCCUGUACGCUUUGUCAAAAUGACACAAAAAUUGACACACAUAUGUAUCUCAAUAAGAUCUACAAAAAAGUCAGUGCGGGCGUAUCUGUCAAAUGUACGGUUAAAGGGUUAUUUCGCAUUUUUUGCCGAUCCGCACACAUUGGAAUUUCGCUAACUCCUCCGAAGGCUUUCGUUCCACCGGCACCACAUUUGCUCAGGCCAAUCUACACCCCAUGGCCAUUAAAAGUUAUUCAAAUCAUGACGCUGCACCCCACGGUUUAGGUUCUAGGGGGCGCCAAAGAUAACCCUAAAAUCCACAUAUUUAAAAGUCUUAUAACUUUUUAUUUUUGUCCCCACUGGCCUCCAAGUUUUCUAGGAUGAUGCAAUGUCCAGCCAUCAACACAUUUGUGAAGGAAUUUUUACUCCCCAAAAGAGCGCCCCCCAUGGCAGGAGAAAAAAGUCCAUUUUUUCUUGUCCCCUAAGGUGAAAAUACACAUUGUUGAGUGUAACACCUGUACGCUUUGGCAAAAUGACACCAAAAUUGACACACACAUGUAUCUCAAUAAGAUCUACAAAAAAGUCAAUGCCCGCGUAUCUGUCAAAUGUACGGUUAAAGGGUUAUUCCGCAUUUUUUGCCGAUCCGCACACAUUGGAAUUUCGCUAACUCCUCCGAAGGCUUUCGUUCCACCGGCACCACAUUUGCUCAGGCCAAUCUACACCCCGUGGCCAUUAAAAGUUAUUCAAAUCAUGACGCUGCACCCCACGGUUUAGGUUCUAGGGGGCGCCAAAGAUAACACUAAAAUCCACAUAUUUAAAAGUCUUAUAACUUUUUAUUUUUGUCCUCACUGGCCUCCAAGUUUUCUAGGAUGAUGCAAUGUCCAGCCAUCAACACAUUUGUGAAGGAAUUUUUACUCCCCAAAAGAGCGCCCCCCCAUGGCAGGAGAAAAAAGUCCAUUUUUUCUUGUCCCCUAAGGUGAAAAUACACAUUGUUGAGUGUCACGCCUAUACGCUUUGUCAAAAUGACACAAAAAUUGACACACACAUGUAACUCAAUAAGAUCUACGAAAAAGUCAAUGCGCGCGUAUCUGUCAAAUGUACGGUUAAAGGGUUAUUCCGCAUUUUUUGCCGAUCCGCACACAUUGGAAUGUGGCUAACUCCUCCUAAGGCUUUCGUUCCACCGGCACCACAUUUGCUCAGGCCAAUCUACACCCCAUGGCCAUUAAAAGUUAUUCAAAUCAUGACGCUGCACCCCACGGUUUAGGUUCUAGGGGGCGCCAAAGAUAACCCUAAAAUCCACAUAUUUAAAAGUCUUAUAACUUUUUAUUUUUGUCCUCACUGGCCUCCAAGUUUUCUAGGAUGAUGCAAUGUCCAGCCAUCAACACAUUUGUGAAGGAAUUUUUACUCCCCAAAAGAGUGCCCCCCCAUGGCAGGAGAAAAAAGUCCAUUUUUUCUUGUCCCCUAAGGUGAAAAUACAUAUUGUUGAGAUUCACGCCUAUACGCUUUGUCAUAUUGACACAAAAUUUGACAAUCACGUGCCUUGCCUGGUAUCAUUUUUUUCAGCACAACCUCACCUGUGUCAAUUUACAGUUAUUUUAUCAUUUUGACAUACUAUAUUUACACAUUGGACCCAAAUUCACACACAAAACAUAAAAUCCGAGUGGAAAAAAGUAACGUUUUUACUGUGAAAACCACAAAUAUGUGUGAUGAACUGUUUUUAAAACUUAAACUUCAAAUAAAAAUUGUAAACUUCAAAACAUAUGCAAAUUUUUAACAAAGAACAUAGUAAUUUACCUCUAUUUACAUCAAAAUGCAGGCAAUGGCCCAGGUGUUCUUUGUAAAAUUAUUUACAAAACACUGUAUAGUCUCACAAAUGUCACUUUUUAUUUAUGCCACUACAAAAAAACAUGAUGUAAAUGAUGCAUGAUGUAAAACAUGAUGUAAAAAACUUGUGUAGAUCCUCCUCUAUGUCAGUCCAUGUGUAAUUUUUCCAUAAUUCUUUGUUUUUUGCAGCAUUUUUGUUAGUGUAACUGCAGAUUGUGCUGACAGUGUCUAUGGCACAAAAAAAAAAAAAAAAUUAAAAUGCCUCAACAUGAACCCCUGGUGGUCUCUGAGGGUGAAACCUGCUAACUGCUGCAGCUCUGUCAGCUUCAGUCUCCCAUGCAGAGCUCUGAGCGCAUGUGUGGCUCUGCACCCUUAGCAGCGUUGCUAACUCCUCAGUAAGGAAAGCCUGCUUCAUGUCAGAGUCUCUAAACUCCAGAAGAAGUCGAUAAAAGUCCCUUUCUUUCUAAAAAAAAGUCGUUAGGGGGUCUGAAAAGUCAUUGAAUCUAACAACAAAGUCGCUAGGUUUGCAACUACGUGUCCCAGACUGCAUCCCUGCUGAGAGUCCCUCCCUCCCUUCUCAUGUUGCAGGAAGAACGUAAGCACCCGCCCCUUGUCAAUCAGUCACCAUAUAAUUUUGGAUUGGUUGUUGUGGUGAAGUUUUCCACCAAUAGGAGAGAUGUUGUGGUGUGUUUUUUUUUUCUUUUGGAAAGCCUUUUCCGCCUGUAAGACCUGUCGCUAAUGUCUGCAUGCUAUGUUUUCUUGUCUCAUACAGCGCGAUCGAGCGCCGAACGUGAUCAAAAUAAGCAGAAAAAAAGUAUCGCGGACAUAAUUUAUCAUAACUCUGGUUUUAUUUGGCCUAUCAACACAAUUUAAAAACUGGUAUAUAGGUUGAGGUCCUCACUUUUGAGAUAAGUUGAAACGGAGAGUCAACGAGGCUCCGUCUUGCAGCUACAUCCGGUUAAAUAUGUCAUGUGACUUGAACACACACACAGACACACACACACGCACACACACACACACACACACGCACACACACACACUCAGAGUCUGGUUUUUAGCACCUGCAAAAACAUGCUAUUUACAUAUUUGACAAGAAUGCAGAGGCUCCUUUUGUCCCUGAAAAAAAUCAAAUUUCAAACACAACUUGACUGGUCAUUUCUCCAAAAGACAACCAUGAAGCUCCAUCCAAACCUGAAGCAGGCAGUUGGUGCAUGUGUACAGUAACCUGAGGGGAGUGAGGUGAGUGCUUCUGAGGAGAACAUGAGCAGUGAAGAUUCACCUUGGAGCUAGAACAGAGACAUGCACAUGAUUAUACAGGGGCAGGGGCUCAAGUUUUUUCCAGUCGUUUAUACAAUAUGGAAAUUAAUGUGAAAUUAAAACACAAAGUAUUAAUAGAAAGGUAAUGACUGUCCUGUGUAGGUGACAGUGAUAUCCAAUAGGCUAGGCACUCACGAGGCUGGCUGUGGCAAGUGUAAGCGAAUGCAACACGCACUGGCAGGAAGAACAGCAAACGCCGAUGAAGGAAAAGGGUCUUUGCAGUGAUGGGCGUUACCAGAGAGGGCGAUGGCCAGAGGACACAAAUGGGACGGGAAGGCAGCACGUUGGGGGGGGGGGGGGGGGGGGGGGAUGCGACACGGCUCGGGCCCGCCAGUGCCCCAACGGGGUCCUAGUUAGGGCCCGAGCGUAGCUGCUAAGCAGCUGCGAGAGCCCUAUUAUUCCCCAAGUGGUUUUUCUUUGAUUCUUUCUUUCUUUAGGGCCCGAGCGUAGCUGCUAAGCAGCUGCGAGAGCCCUAUUAUUCCCCAAGUGGUUUUUCUUUGUUUCUUUAGGGCCCGAGCGUAGCUGCUAAGCAGCUGCGAGAGCCCUCUUGUUCCUGCAU